GAUGAACGCUGGCGGCGUGCCUAAUACAUGCAAGUCGAGCGAACGGACGAGAAGCUUGCUUCUCUGAUGUUAGCGGCGGACGGGUGAGUAAAACGUGGAUAACCUACCUAUAAGACUGGGAUAACUUCGGGAAACCGGAGCUAAUACCGGAUAAUAUUUUGAACCGCAUGGUUCAAAAGUGAAAGACGGUCUUGCUGUCACUUAUAGAUGGAUCCGCGCUGCAUUAGCUAGUUGGUAAGGUAACGGCUUACCAAGGCAACGAUGCAUAGCCGACCUGAGAGGGUGAUCGGCCACCCUGGAACUGAGACACGGUCCAGACUCCUACGGGAGGCAGCAGUAGGGAAUCUUCCGCAAUGGGCGAAAGCCUGACGGCGCAACGCCGCGUGAGUGAUGAAGGUCUUCGGAUCGUAAAACUCUGUUAUUAGGGAAGAACAUAUGUGUAAGUAACUGUGCACAUCUUGACGGUACCUAAUCAGAAAGCCACGGCUAACUACGUG
rnacentral:rRNA from 1 species